AGAGCCUCAAGCACUUCAGUUCAACAAUGGAAUAUAUAUAUAUGUGUGUGUGUGUGUGUGUGUGUGUGUGUGUGUGUUUGUGUGUGUGUGUGUGUGUAUAUAUAUAUAUAUACACACACACACACAUAUAU
ensembl:miRNA Gm22646 predicted gene, 22646